GAUGAACGCUAGCGGCAGGCUUAACACAUGCAAGUCGAGGGGCAGCAUGAGACGGAGAUUCGUCGAAGUCUUGAUGGCGACCGGCGCAAGGGUGCGUAACGCGUGAGCAACUUGCCCGUUUCAGGGGGAUAACCGGCGGAAACGCCGACUAAUACCCCAUAGCAUCAACAUGAGGCAUCUCAAGUUGAUUAAAGAAUUUCGGAAACGGAUAGGCUCGCGUGACAUUAGCUAGAUGGUAGGGUAACGGCCUACCAUGGCGACGAUGUCUAGGGGUUCUGAGAGGAAGGUCCCCCANACUGGAACUGAGACACGGUCCAGACUCCUACGGGAGGCAGCAGU
rnacentral:rRNA from 1 species